rnacentral:lncRNA from 1 species
AUUCUUUUAAACUUUACUAAUCAAAUGAAUUAAUAUUUUCUGUCUUAUAGCAAGUAGCAUUGCUGCGUAAAUCGGCUCCUCCACACUUCAGUUUGAAAUACUUUCUCUUUAUUUUAUUUAUGUCUCAAUAACACAACAAAAUAGUUGUUUUGCUUGUGAUAGGAUCUAACUAAACAUGAAACAUCCGGACGACAAAGUUAACAUCGUCCUUGCAAGACAAGACAGGUAUGAACUUCCCAUUACGAGCAAGUUUGUUCACAUGUCAAGCACCGAUAAUAUUAGUGUAUUAUAUCGAAUUGCAUAGCAUGUCAUUGCUUUUUCAAGACCUUGUCAAUUAAUUUGAGUUUUGUUUUUGCGAUUGUACUCUCAAAGUAGAGGGUUACAUGCCUAAGCUAUUCUGUUGAUAUGCAAAGACGAAAGACGAAUACUCGUCAUUCACGAAUUGCUAAUGCACAUAGAUUAAUAGUGAAUAUUUAUAAUUCAUGACGUAAACUAUUAUGAUAUAAUCCUAUAUGUUCUCAGUAGAUUGAAUAGAAUAGAACUUGUGAUUGAAGAGGAAUGUUAUGUCUCUAGUGGGUAGUGUACUGUUUACUUAAAAAAUUACUUUUCAUAUUAAAAGGCAAACUAUAGGGACUAGAUUGAAAAUCAUCCGAAUCUCAGAGGAGUUAUGGAGUUAGGAUUUCAAGUUGAGGACAAAAAAAUUCAAAAUGUUGCAAGACAAGUCCCUCCGGACCUAGUAAUGAUGUAAAGUUUCGGAUAGAAAUGAAAUUAAAAAUUUAAAAAUAGAUUGAAAAAGGGGGCAACUUUUAAAAUGGCUGGAUAAUUGAUCCAAUUUUCCACAAUGGCCUCUUAUAUUAAAAAUACUAUUUUACACUUACUAAAUUAUUCGCAAGCUGUAUCUUAUAUUUUCAAAGAUUUAUUAAUCAGGACCUAUAUCUAUAUUUUUCAAUGUUUCAAAUACUUUUAAAUAUUCUUUAUAUUUCAGUAGUUCUUUAAAGACCCUAGGCUGACCUUUCUUGGUUAUAUAUCCUCGAACUAAUCCUUCUGAAAUUUCUUUCUGUAUUUCCCUAUGUUUGGUUAUAAUAUCCUCUACCUUUCUUAUCUCUCUACUAGUUCCUAUAGAAUCAAAUCCUAUAUUAUUUUUACAAUUAUAAUCUAUAUUUUUAUAUAUUUCUUCAAUUUUUUCUUUGCCAACAUGAAAUAUAUCUUCAGACUUUUCAGCUAAUUUAAAUGAAAACGAAACAUCAUUUUCAUCUAAAAAUAAUAUGAGAUUAUUAUCAUUAGUGGAUGUGGAUGCUUGUGAAUUGUUCAUCAGAAUAAUUAAAUUAUAAGCAUGUAAAAACAAGUAAAUAACUUACAGUAAUCAAAUAGAAGUAAACAGGCUUUCCAUUCAUUAUGCUUUUAUAGAUGCUUUGCAUGUACUUAAUCAAUCUUCUGAAUCAAGUAAAGGUUUUAAAAUGUUUUUGAAAUCAUUUGGAUCCACAACUGCUUCCGCAAAAGGCUUUUCAAUUAAGGUUGCAUUUCUCACUCUAGAGAACUAGCCGUGUUUCCACAGACGCUAUCUCACAGUAUUCAGAGUCUCUGUUUUCACCUCUAUCUAAACUCUUUUCAGAAUCAAGUUUUUACUUGGAACGAAAUUUUAAAAGAUAACUCACACAUAAGGUGCUACAAUUUUGUUAGAAAACUGCCUUUUCCCCUAAACAAUUCAUCAAAGACGGGUAUUUUGGCAUGGCUAACAUCCAUUCAAAAUCAAUGUUUUGAAAAUAUUUUAAAAUCUCUAUCUGUACUGUCGAGGAAUCAUGAGAAACUUAACGAAAUCCUUUUAUGAAAGUUUUGUUGAACAUAACAAACUUUACUUUGAUAUUCAUAAACUGAAAUUGUACAUGCUUACAAACUAUAUUUACAUACCUUUGGUACUUACCUUAUGAGGUUUAGAACUCCAUAAGAGAUUACCUUAUUACACGCUUUUCUAUUUUCAAACUAUCUAAUAUUUUUCUGAAUAUAAGUGGUGUAAACAGAUUACAAAAGAUAUAUCUAAGAUGUGUUUCCUUCAAGUGUUUAGGAGAUAAGCUGUUUCGAGAUGCCUUCCUUCUUCCUCAUUGCCUCCUUUUAUAGAAACAUUUGGGAAUCUUAUCUUGACAGGUGUUUUCCACCUUUCUUUGUUGGGUAGCUAGGCCAUCUUAUCUCCACCGAAUUUUUCAUUUUCUUCUUGCUAGGUAGACCUUUUCUUUUGAAAUUAUAUGCCUUAUUUUUUGAGUUUGUCUGCCACUUGUGUCAAUUAGAGGGGAGUAGUCAUAAUUAUGGAGACUUUUCUUGCAAUAUCUUCUGUCUUUUAGUAGUCACAGUUUUUCUUUAAUAAAUUUCUUUAUCGAAGUAGUGAUAAAGGACUACUUUUGUCACCAUCACUUUUCCAUUUUGAAAUCAAAGAAUUUUGUAGGGAAUUUUUCACUGUUAAGGGAUGCUUGACUCAUAUCUUCAACUACACAGUAUUCACAAUGGUGAUCACUGUAGUUCCAAAGUAAUUUGCAUAGUUCUUUAGCCAUAUCUUCUGAUCCAUGCACUUGGUUAGAAAUAAUUGCAGAUAAUUAAUGGUCGAGAUAACAAAUAUCUUCUUCCUUGGUGGUCAUCCUUGCAUUGGAAUAGAUAAUAUGAUCUUCAGAUGGAUAAACCUAUAUUUUUUCUUUCUCAGUAAUUAUCUGAGUUACAUGUUCAAAUAUCUCUUUGUACCCUUUUGCUCUUCUGAAGGGCAUCAUAUUUAGAAUAUCUUGAUAUCCAUUUUUAACAACCUUUUGAUUGCUUGGUAAAAAAUGUUGAUUUAUAAGCCCCAUUUUUAUUACACGGAACAAUGGAUGCAUAUAUUCAAGAACGGGAUCCCAUUCCAUAGUUGUUGAAUGGAAUCUGAUAUAUAUAUUUGUUGUCUUGACAACUUCAGUAUACUUUUUAACAGCUUUCCUGAUGUUAGCUGGAAGUUGAGAUAUUUUUUUGAGAUUUUUACUAGGAUAUAUACAAAGUAUAUUUCCUAUCUCAAAACAAUUUCGUACCCAGUUGACUGGUGCUCCUGGAUAAAAAUUUAUCUUGUUGUAUUUUGAAUAGUGGAGAGUCUUCAUCCACUUUCCAAUCUCCAAAUACCAAUCUGAUAAAAUAUUGAAAAUAACAAUAAAGAGUGUUACUUCUUCAUGGUUAUCUUUUCUGGAAAUUUUUGCUUAAUGACAUAUCUUGACAAUAUCUUUUGGAUCUAUCCUUUCAAUAGAAAGUUUAGAUUGAGUUUGGCUCUGUGAAGAGCCACCUUCUCUUUUGAUAUCUUGAAUAUCUUUAUUACCAGUAAUAGGUUCAAGUUUUCCUUGUAAAGGGGUUCCUAUUACCUUCUUUUAUUUCCCUUUAUCCUCGGGGAGAGCGCUAGUAUUCACAAAUCCCUGUGAAGGGAUACUAGACUUAGUACAAGUAACUUCUGCCUCAAGGGCUAUAUUUUUGCUUCGAAAGCUAUCUUGGAUAUUUUGAAUUUGUGUUUCCAAAUAGGAAACUUUUAUCUCAAGUAUCUGGACUUUCGUCCUUAGUUGUUCUAGCUCCAUCCCUGCUAAGAUAAUCAGGAAGAAAGUUAGUUUUUCCUUUUAUAUAUUCAAUAACAAAUUUGAAAUAUGAGAAUCAAAUUUGUACCCUAAUAAUAUAUCUCUUGGUAAUAGAUGGAUCAACAUUAUUUUUCAGAUAGGCUUUAACUUGAGUAUUAUCAGUUCUAAUCAAGAACUUCUUUGGUAACAAAUAAUCUUCAUAUUUUAGAACUCAUCUUUUAACAACAAUGAGUUCUUUUCUAUUCGUUUCAUAUCUUGUUUCAAUUUUUUUGAAUGUUCCUGAUGUAUAUCCUGCAAGUAUCUCGGGACAAGAACAAUUCUUUUCAUAUUUAUAUUCUUUAUGAUUCUUUUUAACCUUUAAUACUGCUCUUCAGUAAUUAUUUGAAGUAUCAGUUUCAAGGAUAAAGAAAUCUUCUUCUUGUGGUAUUACAAGUUUGGGCAAUACCUUUAACUCUUCUUUUACUUUCCUUAUAUUUUCACAAUCUUGUUCUUCCCAAAACCACAUUAUAUUUUUUCUUAAUUUUGGAAGAAAAUAAUUUUUUAAUUUGACACAAUUUUCAAUGAAUCAUUCAGCAUAAUUUAAUAUACCAAGGAAGCUUUGUAAUUGUUUUUUAUCUUUGAUUUUUUCAGGAAAUUUUUGAAAUUUUUCUCCAAUAUGAGAUUGCCAUUGUAAUUCUCCUUCUUUUAUAAAUAAUCCUAAAAAUUCUAUUUCUGUUCUAGCUAUCUCAACUUUCUUUUGAGAAAGUGUAAUACCAUAUUUUUUCAUAAUAUAACAAAAUUUCUCAAGAUAUUCAAUAUGUUCAUCAAUAUUAUUUGAAUGAAUAAGUAAAUCAUCUACAUAUGUAAUACAGAAAUGAGUAAUAGGUUUGAUUACCUCAUCCAUUCUCCUUUAGAAUAUCUGUGGUGCAUUUUCAACCCAAAUGGCAUUACAUUCCAUUUGUAUUGUCCUAAAGGAUUGGGGGUACUAAAUGCAGUUAGUGGUUUACUCUCUUCUGUAAGUAUCAUUUGCCAAAACCCUGACUUACAAUCAAAUUUUAAAAAUAUAUUUUUGUUCUGUACUUAUUUAAUAAGGGUGUCCUUAUUUCACAAGUAGUAUCCAUCAAAUUUAAUAACUUCAUUUAAUUUUUUGUAAUUUAUCACCAUUCUGGCUUUUCCUCUUUUUAUCUCACUAUGUUUUCUAACCAUAAAGGUUGGACUGCUAUGUGGACUUUUACUUGGCCUAAUUAACUUGGCUUCUAACAAUUCUCUUAUCUGGUCUUUAAAUUUCUUUUGAUCAUCAACACUAUAUUUCAUGGGUUUGACUCUAACAAUAGUGUCUGGAUUGGUUAAUUCUAUUUUUACCUUUACUUUGUCUGUAUUCCAUUUUUCUAAUGGAUUUUCAAAAUAUGUUUCAGAAAAUUCUUUUUUCAGUUUUUUAAUCCUAUUUUCUAUUGUCAUUUUUAAGACUGUAACUGAUUUAAAUUUUUCUGUGCUCCAACAUCCACCACACUGGGUUGAGGAACUAUGAUGUUUUAUAUCUGUAUAUGCUAUUGUAACAGCUUUAUUUAUUUUUGGUGUAAAUAUUUUAUGUGCACAAGGUAUUGUGAACAUAUACUUAUCGAUAUAUUGUGUAAAUGGUGCAUAUUUUAAUAGGAAAUUUUGUCCUAAUAAAAUAUCACAUCCAAUUGUGAUUGACAUGUAUAUUGUAUUAACAAAUACUUCUCUAAAGGAAAUUAGAAAAGGUACUUACGUAGCAUAUUUGCUGUAUAUUACGUUAUUUCCACCUGCUGUUGUAGCGGUGACUAUCUUCUUUGAAUUGUAUAUCUACUAUUCAGAUGGUAAUACAUUUGGUAAGCAUAAGCUUAUUGUACUUCCUAUAUCUAAGUAAGCAUGAAAUUUAAUUCUACAAUAACUUUUAAUAUUUAGUGUAAUUUCAAUAUAUGAACUCAUAGGAUUAGUACUUAUUACUCUUUCCAUGAUAACAAUGAUUUCAUAUUUUCAUCUAUUCUUGAUAUGAUAAUUAGGAUAUCAUCAAUGUUAUUUUUAGAUAUCCUUGGUAGAUUUUAUAAUGACUAUAUUUCUCAAGAAAGUUCAUUCCGAAUAGAAUAGGUGAACGGUCUACUCCAAAUAAUUCGUCUUUACAUAGAAUUAUUUCUUUAGUAUAUUCUUUCUGAUCCUCUCCUAUAAGUAUAAGAGGGAAACUUAACAUAUUUUCUUAUUUCAAGAUUAUUUCCUAAAUAAUCCUUAAAUAUAUAUGGUUCUGGUAUUUCAAAGCCUAUUAAAUGACUAACAAAUUUAGCAUUUACAUGACUUUUAUCUGCUCCAGUAUCUAUGAGAACAAGAAGAUUCUUCUUGUAUCCUUCUUGAUUUACAUAUCUUGUCUUAAUGUAAUAUUGUGAACUUGAUGGUUCAACAAUACUUAAAUUCUUAAGUCAGCUUAUCCUAGAGUCUUGUCUAGAGGGAAAUCUUGCAAUAAGAUUAUCUCCUUCUAAACUGACACUAUUUCUUCUCAUUAGUUUCCCUUUAGAAUUAAUUUCUUUAGCUUGUUUAUGGAAAUCAAGCAUUAUUUGUUCUGGUAUAGUGACUUCAUGUUCUUGAUAUUUUUUAGGAGGUAUAUAUUGUGCUAAUUCCUCAAAAUCUUUAUGGAUAAUAAUAUUAUCAGUUAUAUUUCUUAGAUUGUUAUGAUGGCUAGUACUAAAAGCAAAAAUUGAUUUUAUGCUUAUACUAAUGGCUUUACUUCUUCGUAACAUUUUUAAUUUCCAAUUCUAUAGUAUAGAUUGAAACUUUGGUUAAUAUUUUCUUCAUUUAAUGAUAUUGCAUAAUUUGGUUUAACUGUAAAUAUUAUCUUCUGAUAGACUAAGUUUCCUAUAACUGUUCCUAAUAGAGCAUCAAUAGGAUCUUGUAAGAUUCUAUUGUCCAUACAAUAUAUUUCUAUUGGUAUAUUCAUACCUUCUCUAAAGAAUCAUUUUACCAUUAUCUGGACUCCUCUUAAUUCAAUGCAUUUUAAUUUGUUUCUUACGUUUUCUGGAAUUUUAGAUAACUUUUGUUUUACCCAUUCUUUUGUAAUUAUAGGAAUCCUCGCUUUUCCUAUAAUAUCUUCUAUAUUGAUAGACAUUUCUUUAUAAUUCAUACUUAUAAUUGUUUUAUUUAUUCUUGGUAAAAUUUCUAAGAAUUUUUGAUGGAAUACAUCUUUUUCUUGUAGGUCUAAAAUCUUCUUAGUGUUCCUGUGUAUUUUUUAAUAUCAAAGGUAAUUUCUUGAUUUAUACCUUCUAUAGAGUUUUCAACUUCUUCAGUUGUUUCUAUGUCUAUUUCUGAUUGUUGUAUUUCUUGAUUCAUAUAUACUAUCUCCUCAUAAUCUUCUUCUGAUGAGGAUGUAUUCAAUUCAUAAAUGCUACUGCAUUCAGUACUUAGAUCUUCAAAAUAUUCAAUUGGUUCUAUGUCACUAUCUUCUUGGAUUUUUUCAUAAAUUCUAAGAAUUUUUAUAUUCUGUCUAUCUUUUUUUUUAGGACAUUGAGGGGCAAUAUGUCCUUUUUCAUUACAAAUAAAAUAUCUAUAUUUUUUAAUAUUUCUUUGUUUAAAUUUCUUAUUCCAAUUUCUUUUCUUGAAAUAUUUUUUGUGUGGUUUAAAAUUUCUUUUCUUGAAUUUUUUAUAGCUUUUGAAUUUUCUUUUAUAUUUCUUAUAUGGUUUAUAUUUCUUCUAAUGGCAUCCAAAUUGUUCAACUUGGCCAUUAUCUUUAUAACAACAUAAUGAAUUUUUCUUAUUUUAUAUGCUUUUUUAUUUUCUAAAGCUUCUCUACACCAUAUGCCUAUCAUUCUUUUUGUAAAUUCAAUUUUACUUCCAAAACUAUCUAUUUUUACUCCUUCCUCUUCUCCUAGAGGUAAUAAUUUUUCAUAUUCUUUUAAUAACUUAAUUCCCCAUUAGAAUGGUAACUUAGUAAAAUAAGAUUUUAAUAUAGGUUUAUUUUCCUGAUAAUCUCCUUGGUUUAAUAUAUAAUAUAUUUCUUCAAAUUUACAAGUGUAUCUUUCUAAUUCACACAUAUCACAUAUCUUUAAAUUUUUCAUUGCUAUCAUUCCUUGAUUAUAUUCACCUUGUAUUCUUUCUUCAUCAUUUGAAGUAUACCUAUCACUUAAGAAUUUUGUUCUUAAGAUUUUUUCAAACUUUUUUAAUAUCUCCUUUAUAUUUUGUUCAUUUAAAGUAUUCCUAUUAUCUAAUACUUCAGUUCUACCUGCUCUAUAUUUUAUCCUUCAUUUAAUAGUUUCUGAUAAUUUUCUCCACCAUUCAAAAACAAUUCCUCUGAAUGUAUGUUCAAUAAAUUCAAAAGUUGUAUAUGUUUCCCAUUUAUUAAAUUGUAUUGCUAAAUCUGUACUUUUCAUCCAUGUUUCAAUAGCUUUAUUUUUAUCUACACAAUCUAGGUCUAACCACAUUCCUGUUGUAUGGAUUGGUUCAUUAUAAGAUUUUAUUGGAUUUAUUUCUUUUAUGGACUGUUUUCUUACAUUUUCAGUGUAUCUUUCUGUAUUUUUUUAUAUUGGUAAAUACCAUCCUUAUUAGGUAUUGGGGUACCAUAAGGAUAAUCUUGUUCUUCAUCACUAUUGAAUUCUACUUUUAUAUUCUGACUUGAAGAUGGAUUAGUAUUCAUUUUUGUAUUUUCCAUUUUUUCAGUUAAUUCUUCUAACUGUUUUUUAUAUUCUUCAUACUCUUCGCCUGUAGAUUCUAAGAAUUUUUGUUCUAUUUCUUCUACAUCUGUAAUCAUAUAUUGUUUUUCUUCAUGUUUUUUUCCUUUAUUAUUUUCUUUUUGUGUUAUCCUAAAAUCUUGAGGUGGAUUAAUUAUAAUCCUAUCUUUUCCUUUAAAAUUUUUAUCUAAUAGAGCAUUUCCUACUUAUAAAUUAUGUUCCAGAUUUUUUAAUCUUUUAUGUAUAUUCUCAAAACUUUCAUUUGUGGUAUUUUUAGGUAAAUAGGGAUAACUAGGUUUUUUAUGUUUUUCAACUUUUUUCAAAAAAUUUUCAAUUAUAUUUUCUUCAUCUACUAUAUUCAUCAUUAUUUUUGGUUCGUAACAUGGCUCUGAUACCAUUUCGUCGGAGUGUGCAGCGGAGUGGUUAAGAUUUUUGAGCCAAUUAAAAUCUUUAUAAGUAUUUAAAAUAUCACAAUAGAAUUUAUAAAAUUUACCAUUUUUUAUUAAUACUGUUUCUCUAAUAAUUAUAUUUAGUUAUUUAAUUCUUCUUCUCAGAUUAAGAGUUAGUUUAUAUAUAUUAUUUUCUGUUUUGAUUGUACUAUUAUCUAUAGAAACAUUUUUAUUUUUUAAUUUUGAAUUUAAAUAUUCUGUAAAGAAUUCUUUCAGAUCUUCUUCUAAAUAGUUUAAUUCACUUUCUGUUGCGUUUUUUAGAUCAAUAAAAUUUUGUAGAAUAUUUGGGAUUAAAUUUAUUAAAGAUUUUUUAUCUAUAUUUCUUUGAGGACCUAAUUGAAGGUUUCUAUACAUUGUGAUGGCUUUGGUUGUAAAUUUUCUCUAAGGGGUAUUUUUGGAAAGAUUAUUGUUAAAAUGCUAUUUCUCAAAUGUUUAUAUUUUUUGUUCUAAUAUUACAAACCUCCCUUUUAUUUAGGUUAUCUAGAGGUAUUUCCUCUUGAAAAAGAUCAAUUUCCCUUGCUUAGUGGGAGGGAAAGUAUUGGCGGAACGCAUUGGUUGCACUACAAAAAAACAUGGUUUUAGAAAUAGAUAAAUCACGAUAUCUACUCCUAUUACUCUUUACCAAUGAAAUAUUAACAACCACAAAUUCGUUGUUAAUUCGAGGGUGGUUGAUAGUAGUUGAAUGAUUGAAUUUUUUUAAUUAUUAGAAUUGAUUAAUAUCAUCAACGAAUUUUCCAUAGGUAAUAUGAAUUAAUCAUCACCUAUGGAAUUUCUGUCGGUGAGGAGGCUGAAUUUUUUUCAAAAAAAAAAUUAAUUACCUUUUACCUAUGAAUAUUCCAUAGGAUAUUGUAUGAAUUUUUUAAUUAUUAAAAUUGAUUAAUAUUAGGUUCAUAUUUUCGAUUGCUCACUAAAAUUAAAAAUAUUGAGUUUUGACCACUGAAUUUUGAAAAAUGUUGUAUAUUUUUUAAAAAUGUUGUACGUUACUCGUUAACAUAACUUCCGUCUUAAACAUCUAACGAAAUUGAUAACGUGACUGACGGAAUGCACAUUUGGCGCACUGUCGUAUCGUUAAACUUUGAGAUUGUCGAAUUUUAGCUACUAAACUUUUAGAAAAAUCUUCUACUACUCACUGAACAUUGAGCCAGUCGAAUUUUGGAAAACGACAAACUUUGGGCAAUAAUAUUUGAAAACGUCUUUUAUUGCUUAUUAUAAAUUUAGAUUUGACAACACGUCUAUAAAAUAAAAUAUUUUACACAUAAAUUUUUGUUCCAAUUUUUUAACCACACAUUUUCUAAAAAAUAGAACUUUUUUUAAAAAAUAAUAGCCAUCAAACAGGGGCUAAAACUUCUUGUUAAAAAAGUUCAGAUUUAAUUAAUUUUUGCGAUAAAUAUAUUGUGUAUUUCAUUGCAAUUAGUAAUCACUUUCUUUGCACAGCUUUGCAAGUAUUGUUUAUAGCACUAGGAAUGAUUACACAGUUACACAGUAAUUAAAUUUAUUUUUUAUUUUAGAAUUUGAAGUUAUUUUCAUCAUAAUAUUUGAAUUUCACAACUAAACACACAAUGAAUUUGUUUGUUAUUAAAUAAAAUUAAAUCUAAUUUUAACAAAGAAUUUUAAUUAAAUCCAAAUUUAUUGUGAGCCAUAGAAGACGUUUUCUAAAAUUUUGUGGCAAAAACUCGAUCAUAAUCUUUCAGGUGAUUGAAUUUUAGCUACUGAACUUUGAUAUAGUUGAAAUUUUGGCCACUAAAUUUUGAGAUGAUCUAGUUUUAAAAAAAAAAAAAAAUUGGAGAAUAUGUGCUUAAAAUAUUGGGAAAAAUUUUGAGUUUACGUGUAAAAUAUUUUAUUGUAUAAAUGUGUGGUUAAAUCCAAAUUUAUAUUGAGCAAUAGAAGACUUUUUCUAAGUUUAGUGGCUAAAAUUCAACGUUUUUCAAAGUUUGGUGGUCAAAAUUCGAUCAUCUCUAGAUUCAGUGAACAAUAGAAGACAUAUUUCUAAGUUUAGUAGCCAAAAUUCGACUAUCUCAAAGUUGAAUGGUGUGAUGGAACGUCACGUGUGCAGUUUGUCAAUUAUGUUACCAAUUUCGUUAGAGGUUUGCGAUGAAAGUUAUAUUAGUGAGUAUCGUACAAUAUUUUCAAAUUUAAUGGCCAAAACUCUAUAUUUUAAAUUUUAAUGAAUAAUCGAAGAUAUGAAUUUAAGUUAAGUGAUAAAAAUUCGAUAUUUUAAAAUUUAAGAAGCAGUGAGAGAUAUAGCCAUUAGAACAAUUAACUCGUCAAAAGCACCGUCUUAAAAGUUUCUGGAUUGUUCACGAAGCAUAAAAUUACAUGAAUUCACAAAUUGCUAGAGAAAAUUUCUGUUUAGCAUAUUUCACAACGCAAAAAUGGGUUGGUGUGGAAGAACGACAAUGAAUCUGACUCGUUUUCCUCCACCGCUGGUGACAUCGGUGAGUUGAACGGCUCAGACCACUGCGCCACCCAAAGAAUUGUCUCGUCUCAAUGCCGGACUGAGGAAGUUGAGCCGGGAAAAUUCAUUCGUAAGUGCGAGAAUACCGAGAAGGUUUUUAAACACUGCGUUGGAGGGUAAAUUAAAUUAAAAUUGUGUUAGAAAUCCAAAAAAUCGAUUUCUACAUAUAUUUAUAUGCUUGUUUCGUGUUGUUAUUCGAUUUCUGUAAAAGUAUGUGAUUAUUAGAGAAAGUGAUGAUUUUAUAUAUUUUCUAGGCCAACAAAUUUUGGUUUAAAACAUCUUUAUUAUUAUUUUUUUCCCUGAAAUUUAAUCACUUGUCUAGUCUGUUUUGAGUAUAAGGAUUUAUGAACUUAUUGAUCUUUUUGUUUUUCGCCGUUAUUGUAAUUUAUAUGCAUCAAAAUAGGCUUAUUUGAAUACUAUUUGGAGUGAUAUUCAAUGAAUUUUUGCUGAAAUUGAAGUUUGGGGUGCUGUUGAAGAUUGUUGGAGGGGAAAUUCCUGCCUUAAUAACAAUUUAUUGCUUAAACUAUUUACGAACACGGUCUAAACACGUGAACGAAGUGGUUAACAAUAUAAGAUUUCAGUAUAAUUUGAAUAAAAAUGAGAUUUAGGAAACUCCGUGCCGUCAUGCUUGUGAAUAAUUAGGACAAAAGGAUAACUGUGUACAUGUGAAUAUGUAAAACAGGAAUGUUUUUUAUUGUUAAAUCUUGAAGAAAUAGAAAAGAACCAUGAUAUUUGCCCCUUCAUAUUGUGUGUGAUGUUUAUUUUGUGGCAUGCUAGUGAUACUGCUUACUAUCAUUAACUAAAAUUGCGUGCUUGAAAGUUUUAGUAUAGGGAAGAAAACGUAGCUAAAGCUAAUCUAAUUUUUGGAGAAGACCAUAGAGAAAUUCAGGAAACUCUGCGAAGUAGGCUUGUUCUUGAAGCACUACCUUGUCAUAAUUUUGCUAGAGGCAUAGCUUUACACAACCAUAUAUUUUAGAAUCCAUUAAAGAGGUUAAUUGCCAUAAUGAUAUUGACUAAUUGGAAAUGAUAUCUUUGUAUUGGAAUGGACCUGAUCACUUUUACCCAUGCCAAGUGCCGAUUAAGUACAAAUGUUGGAGAGAGCUAGGUAGCUUGGAUACCAGAAUCACAUUGGGGAUAAACAGGUUCCCUUACAUGAGAUAAAUUAACAACCAUUUGAUGAAAAUUAUGGCUGAAUGCUUUCUUUGUAUGUGCAGCUACAUCAUGUUGACUAGUUUCUCUUUUUCAUAUACACAUUAUUUCAACAAUAUCAAUUCUAUGGCCGAAACUCUCAAGCUAUUUCUUGUAUCCACCUUCUAUCCUAAUGCGCAAGACUAAAGUAAAACCGACUCCUUUUUGGCACUAGUAGAAUGUAUUAGAUGCUUGUUUCAUAAUAAUGUGAUGCACUGGGACUGUCACAUGCUGUUUGCCUCCCAGAAUUUUGAAGAUUCUGCUUUAUACUUCUAAUAACUUGAACAUAUGGCUGUACAUAAUCCCCCUUCUCCCCUUUUUCUUCUCCUUUACUAAUCAGAGUUUUAACAGUAUGGACUGCUCUUUAUCCUCUCCUUGUGUCUUUAUGUUUCUAUAGAAAUCCCUCAGGACUGUGCUGUAUGUAGUGAGGUCUAUCAUGUAGGGGUAUUGUUAAAAUAUAUGGUUCCUUGACACAGUAACAUUGUAUAUACAAUCUGUAACGUAGACUGAUUGUUUCUUUCUCUAAAUCUUUUCUUCUUUUCUCAGGCCUAAUGAGAUAGUACAGUCUAACAAAUAAUACACUGAGGAAGAUGUAACAGAUCAACUGGUUAAAGGGUCGUUCCCAUUGGAGUCAUCUGAACAGGGAUCCUCACACUUUCCUGGAUUACGUGGUGAUAUUGAAGCCAUUGAACGUAUUUUCUUUGGCAGUAUAAACCAUUUCUUUAAAGGAGCUGAAGAGAUUAAAAUUGAUUUCUUUAAUACAACUGCGGUUCCUCAAAUAUUUGAUGACGAUUUUUCAUCCUCUCGCACCGAGCGUGGAAUUCCCAUUGAACGUUAACCUCCUAAAGAAGCCCCUCCCAAUAGAAAUUCUGAUGGAGAUGUUGAUCUUCUGGGUUGGCCAGAGAUGUUUGAUGCAUAGCUAUCUUGAGUUUCACUCGUGUACAUUUUAAUAAGGGCCAAUCUGAUAGGCUCCAUUUUUCACCCAAAUGCAAAAUUUUUUGUGGAAUUAGUUUUCCACCCAACAUUCUGUUAAGUAUUUGGGUUGCCUCACAUUCUUGGUCCAUGACAUUUGGGCCUAUGUUGCUGAUUCUGGAUAAUGGUCCAACUCGGGUGAAGAAAACAUGGUUCUUAUAAACACGCAUCUUCAUUUAAUUGAUGCUUUGAUCUGGUCAUACACUUGGCCAUCUCUUCUCUCUAUCCACACCGUGUACUCUUUGUGAGUUUUUGAUCUGAAAAUUCGAGUGACUCUGACAUUCUACAUUUGAUGUAUAUUGUGAGAAAGGUUUUUAGUGAUAUGGUGUGGUUUUGUAUUGUAUGUUGUGGCUAGAGAAAACGUUGAAGAAAUCUUUGAUUUUGUCGUACAUACUGUAACAAUUUUUGGUGAUUUCGUAGUGGAUCUACAGCUUUAUUUAUUUGUGGAUGCUCAACGGGUAAGUAGGUUGUAAGACUGAACAUCUG